rnacentral:lncRNA from 1 species
UCAAGUGGUCCGCCUGCCUCAGCCUCCCAAAGUGCUAGAAUUAUAGGUAUGAGCCACUGUGCCUGGACAGAUUUUGUUUUAGAAGCAGGAGUUAAGUGUCCAUGAGUAGUAGGAACUCAGGUAAUCCAGCCCAAAUGGACUUGAUCAACCAUCCCCUGAUCCCGGAUCUCAGCGUGAUGGGAGUCUAGGAAACCUGCCCUUUGACCUGAAUCUGGAUGACGUUAGUAAUACAGGAAUAGGUGAAAUGCCAGCCACACCUGGCUGGCCCAUGAAAAGGAAAUACUUCCCACGCUUUGCUUUUGCACACCAAGGGCCCCCAGGUAAAGGCAUCCAGGGUGCAAGCCGCCUGCUUUAAUGCCCGGGUGUGGCUGCAGGAACAACCCAGUACAAACUGGAGUGAACCUGUUGCCCUCUUCCUUCCCUGCUGCCAAGCCAAACAGAACACAGGGAACACAAAUAGAAUCAUCACAGUAAACCAGCUGUUGGAGCCAGACACUGGGAGAACCCACUCCCUGGCACUGCCACCCCAUUCACGGGUCCAGACAUGAUGAAGUGCUCUGAGGGCUGAGGAAGGUGUGGCCCGUGGGCAUUCCUGUCCAGCAAGAACCCCUCUGGCUUGUCUGUAUUCAUUGCCACCCACAUGGACCUCUCUAUGGUUGCUUGCCAAAGCCGGGAGGGAGAAGGGUCUCCCCUUCCUCCAAGCCCAGGAUCACCGGGAAAUGCCCUUCCCACCUACUGGACUUGACUAAUGCUGCUUGUCAAGAAGGGAACUCUUCAGACACAUAAAAAUCCUAAAGAUCCUGGAGGCUGAGGUCUAGAUCGGUCGCCAAGGAUGGGAUCCAGGAGAAAACGUGCUGAACGUGCAGCUUGCUCCUACCGAUUACAGCCCAGCAGAUGACAUAGUUCCACUGUGCUCUAGUCCAUUGUGGGAAUUAUGGCCCUCAUGCCCGGCGUCUGUCACAACCCAAUAUUUGGUGUUAUAACCCCUGCUCCCACCCCCCAGCACAUCUCAGAAGUGCCGUUACCCUCUCAGUCACAUCCCAGAAACUGUGUUGCCUUCACGGUUACUCUUGUUUAUGCUUGAGAGCACUCGGAGGCCUUUCCAUAUCUAAAGCCUGCAUUCAGUGCUACCCCCUGCAGGAUUUGGAUACAUUUCCCCGUCUGGUCCUAAUUCUGUUGAAUGACAUCAUUUAUCCGUAUUCCCACCCAGAGAUGGGCAGAUUUCUUGUAACCUGAAUAGAUACCAAAGAAUCCCAAAGGACCUGGGUGGGUACUUCUAUUUAUGGGCUCAUUGGAUCUUAUUCUUUCCUCUCCGCCUGUUUUAAUUCAAAUCGGGGGGACCAUUUGAUUUCUCCAAUAGAAACAGAAAGAAAUUGAAGACAGAGAUGAACACAGAUCAAGAGCCCAGGUUUCUUGAUAUCUAAUACUAAUAUACUGAUGGAGUUAAACAUUCCAAGGUACGAAUGUGUCCAGAAACAGUUUUAACCUUACCCUGGGUUUCCAUCAGUGAAACCAAGUUAACAUCUGGCAAAAGAUAGCGAUCUAGCCUCAGGGGUUUCAGUCAAGUUGCGCUUAAAAGAAUGCCUUAAAAUCUGUAGUUAUGGUGUCAAAUAUAAUAAAUCUUCACCAGCUCAUGCACGUACAAGUCUGAAAUGUUUCAUAAAAGGUUUAGAUGACCUGAUAACAUGUUUCUAAAACCCAGAGAGAAAGAGAGAGACUGAUACAAACGUCAAGUUAAAAACAAGAAAGUAAAAUUAGUUUCAUAGAUUGGGGUUGAUAAGGGGAAUCUCUGUCCUCUAUGCUCUAAUCUUAGCCCACUACCUCCUUUCCUCUAUCUCCUCUGGUGGAUAUGCUUGCUAUCUGUCCUCCCCUCCGACUCUUUGGCUAGCCUUAUAGCCUAUAAUUUCCUUCAGAGAUGUAGUGAAAUUAAAUGAAAUUAAGAGCCUGCUUAAUGCAAACAGGACCAAAGGGCACAGCUCUUUAUCGUAAUGAACUUCAUUCUGAUUAAGUCAGGGACUGCAAGUGCUUACUAUUUACCCAGUAAAUAUAUUAAAUUGCUAGGCUAGUCUCCCUUCUGUCCUGACACUGCCAGGGAAUAUUUGAAAGUCGGAUAUAAGAUCCAUUUUAGACCAUCAAACAUCCCUUCUAAUUCUAUCAUCUCUCUUUAUGUUUCCAGGAAUAUAGCAUGUCUUGGUCUCUGAGAGCCAAUAUAUCUGGGUUACACUGAAAGAGGAAUAACGAGAUAAUAUUUACACUGUACAUUGAAGAUGACCUGAAAAGCUGGAAGAGGUGACUGAGGGCAUUUUCUCAGUGUGGAUGAAGAAGAGGGGAGGAAGCUCAGACAGACAUCAGCUGGAUGAAGCCCCAGGUUCAAACAAACUUGCCUUGGAUAUCAAAGUACUAGUAGCAAAGGAACUCCCAAUUCCUCACCUGCUGUGAAGUUUCCCAUUCACUGCAAGCAAAGUCCAGGUGAAAGCAAAGAUUCUUCACCCGCAGAAACCCUCUGGGCAGGUAACUCAUGAUGUAUUCCCAGCCACCUGAUGAAUCUGGAGAAAGGAAUAGAAUGGUUCUGCCAAAUGAUUUAAAUGAAGAAUCCUGUGGGCCCAGCCCAGCCCUCUAUGCUAACCAAUCUGAAGCCGGCAGGUGUGUGGUGUUCUGUUUAUAGCUGCCAGAUCAGCUCCUGUUGUAGGUUCUAUAUGCUGGCCUCAGCUGAGCCUGUGGUAUGUGAGCACAGUUCUGUGCGAUCCAAACAAUUGACAAAUACUGACCUGGCCCCAGCCACGUGCCCAGUCAUUGCUGGGCUGCCCAAGAAACCAACUAAGCACAUUCUGGGGCAGGGGUGGGGGGCAUUCAAGAAAGAAAUCAGAAAGCUGUAUUCAUUAUUCUAUUGACUGAAGGCUUAGUAUUGUGUCAGGCACUGAUCUGGCAACGGGGAAACAGUAAUGUCUCUUUCCCUCAUGGAACUUAC